GGGGACCCUCAGCAUCCGCAGCAUCCUUCUCCCUGCAUGCCAGCGAUGCAGAGGGAGGUCAGCUCCUGCCCGAAGUGGCACCGCGCGCUCUGGCUCUGGCUCCUGCUCCUGGCCGGGCUCUUCCCCGCGGCCGAGGCGGACAUCACCUGCAGGUCAUGUCAGCCCGGGAGAAAGUGGCGUGGACAGGAAUUACUGCUGAGACUGGACACGGGAGGGCGAGAGAGGGGAGUUCGGGGUGAUGGAGACGGGAUCCGUCCCUGCGAGGCUGCGGGCUCCGCCGCUGGAUGCGCUCGGGCUCCUCGCGCGGAGAACGCGCGUCCAAGCCCGGAACGGAGUAACCCGCGCGCAUCAGGAGCCGGGGCCACCCAGAACCGCUCCGCAGACACUAAAGUUUCCCGCGGCAGGAGGGACAGCGGCGGCAGAGCCGGAGUCCGGGGCCGGGAGCCGGCGGAGCGCAGAGCCAGGGCGCCGCGCUCCGAGCCGCGCUGGAGCGCAGAGGAGCGCAGAGCCGCCGCGGCCAAAGACGAGCCCAAAGUCAACAGCUCCACGUUCGCGCUGAGCGGGGAUUCCUCCCACAACCAGGCCAUGGUGCACUGGUCCGGCCAGAACAGCAGCGUGAUUCUCAUGCUGACCAAAUUGUUUGACUUCAACCUGAACAGCGUGACUGAGAGUUCAUUAUGGAGGUCGACUGACUACGGAGCAACGUACCAGAAACUGAACGACAAAGUGGGAACGAAGACCAUCCUCAGUUAUCUGUACGUGAGCCCCAACAACAAGAGAAAGAUCAUGCUGCUGACCGAUCCGGAGGUGGAGAGCAGCCUCCUGAUCAGCACCGAUGAAGGAGCCACCUACCAGAAGUACCGGCUGAACUUCUACAUACUGAGCCUGCUUUUCCACCCCGAACAGGAGGACUGGAUUUUGGCCUACAGCCACGACCAAAAGCUCUACAGCUCCGUGGAGUUUGGGAGAAGAUGGCAACUGGUGCAUGAAAGAGUGGCUCCGAAUCGAUUUUACUGGUCUAAAAUGGGUUUGGACAAAGAACCGGGCCUGAUUCACCUGGAAACCAGCAUCUCAGAAGCACAGGCGCUGUAUGUUACCUGCAAGCUGCAGAACUGCACGGAUGCCAACAAGGGCAAACCAUUCCCCGGCUACAUUGACCCCAAUUCCCUGGUGGUGCAAGAUGAGUAUGUGUUUGUCCAGGUGUCGACGUCGGGGAGGCCGGUCUACUACGUUUCUGCAAAGAGGGACGUCUUCACCCCCAUGAAGCUGCCCAAGUACACGCUGCCCAAGGAGCUGCACGUGAUCAGCACGGACGAGAACCGCGUGGUGGCGGCCGUGCAGGAGUGGAACCAGAACGAGACCUACAACCUGUACGUGUCGGACACGUCGGGGGUGUACUACACCCUGGCCCUGGGGAGCGUGGUCAGCAGCAUGGGACUGGAGGGCAACGUCAUGGUCGACCUGUACGAGGUAGCGGGAAUAAAAGGGAUGUUCCUCGCCAACAAAAAGACGGACAACCAAGUGAAGACGCACAUCACUUACAACAGAGGCCGGGACUGGAGGUUACUGCAGGCCCCGAGCAAAGACCUGCGAGGCAACGGCAUCCACUGCGCGCUGCCGUACUGUUCGUUACAUCUCCACCUCCACGUGUCUGCCAAUCCCUACACAUCUGGAAACAUAGCCAGCAGGGAGUCGGCGCCGGGGAUCAUCGUCGCAUCAGGCUCCAUCGGCUCAGAGCUGACCACCAACAACGUCAGCGUGUUCAUCACCUCUGAUGCAGGAAACACUUGGAGACAGAUUUUUGACGAGGAGUACGCAGUGCUUUACCUGGACCAAGGUGGAGCUUUGGUUGCGAUAAGACACACUCCGCUUCCCAUCCGACACCUGUGGUUGAGCUUCGACGAAGGCCGGCAGUGGAACAAGUACAGCUUCACCAGCACGCCUCUGUUUGUGGACGGGGUGCUGGGCGAGCCCGGGGAGGAGACGCUCAUCAUGACGAUCUUCGGCCACGUCAGUCAUCGCUCCGAGUGGCAGCUGGUGAAAAUCGACUUCAGGUCCAUCUUCAACAGGAGGUGCACGGAGGCCGACUACCAGACGUGGCACCUGCACGACCAGGGUGAGCCGUGCCUCAUGGGAGUGAAGAGGAUCUACCGGAAGCUGAAGCCCACGUCCAGGUGCGUCAUGGGAAAAGCCUACUCGGUGACGAUGACGUCAGGCGCCUGCGACUGCACAGAGGCCGACUUUGAGUGUGAUUAUGGCUACGAGAGACGGACCGACGGCAAGUGCAGCCCUGCCUUUUGGUUCCAUCCAUCAUCCAUGUCCAGGAGUUGCACCACGGGGAUGACGUUCCUCAACAGCACCGGCUACAGGAAGGUGGUGUCUAACAACUGCACGGCCGGAGUGAGCUCUGAGUACACGGCCAGGCGGCUGCAGUGUCCCGUCCUGGCGCCCCGAGGUCUCCAGCUGGUCACCAGCGAGGGCGCGCUGACCGCCACGCUGGGCGCCAACGUCACCUUCCUUGUUUUCCUGGAAGAGGGUGACGGGGCGAGGACUAGCGUCACGGUGGACUUCGGAGACGGCCACGCAGUGACGUACUCCAACGUGAGCUCCAUCGAGGACGGCAUCAAACACAUCUACAAGGCUGUGGGAAUCUACAGGGUCACUGCCACCGUGGAGAACAGCCUCGGCUCGGAGACCAGCGCGCUCUACCUCCACGUGACAUGUCAGCUGGAGUACAUCCAUCUCUCAGCUCCCUUUGUGGCGGUGAGGAACAAGGAAGUGAACCUGACGGCAGUUCUGUGGCCCAGCCAGGUGGGAACGGUCACCUACAUCUGGUGGAUCGGCAACAACACCGAGCAGCCGGUCAUCACGCUGGAGGGGAGCGUGGCGUGCACCUUCUCCAGGGAGGGCACCAACAGCGUCACCGUGCAGGUGUCUGCAGGGAGCAGCAUCCUGCAGGACAAGAAGAGCAUCGCUGUGCACGAGUACUUCCGCUCCCAUCUGCUGGCCUUUUCCUCAAACCUGGACGAGCACAACCCCGACAUUGCAGAGUGGAGGCUGGACGUGAGCCGGGUCAUCAAGAACGCCCUGAUACAGGCUACCGGCGUGAGGGAGGACCAGCUCCUGGUCACCGUGCUGCCGGGUUUACCCACAGCAGCAGAGUUCUUCCUCCUGCCCGACAAGCUCGCCACGGAGGGGAAACCGGAGAAGAGUUCUGCCCACUUAGAUCAGCUCUCUGAGGUCCUGCUGAGCGCCUUGAAUCAAAACUUUGUCCAGUUCACGUUGAGGCCGGGGGUCCAGGUCACCGUGUACGCCGCUCACCUUUCGGCAGGUAAACACACGCCGCCGUCUUUGUGUUCUAGAGCAUCCCAGGAGGACCCGUGCACCUUCUGUGAAACAAACAUAAGGCAUGUGGACUUAAACAGAUGUAGGACAGUGGACAGUCAGGUGUGUCUCUUAACAUUUCUGUUCCCUCCGCCCCGAACUAAUAACCCCACCCCUGUGUGUGAUUGGCUCCCACCAUGUAGCUACACAGAGACAUUCAGAGAGUGAGCAGCGUAACACGUAUGUGUGCCUCUUCCUAGUGGGGAUGCUGCUACUGUCCUAAAGGGGCUAAUAGGAUGAAGAGUAAGACAAGUCCAAUCACUAAAAUGAUUCAUCUGUGAUUCACAUACGUGUCGUUUCUGUUCACGGCUCACUGCAUGAGUCGGCCGGGUGCAAAUACCGGCUGGGUGACUCGUUGCGGUGUUUGGUCUGUUCUCUCCCUGUCUCUGCAGCGCCCCUUGUGGACACCAGCGAGAACCACAGCGGCUCCGCCAUGCUAAUGCUGCUGUCCGUGGUGGUCGUGGGUUUAGCCGUGUUUGUCAUCUACAAAUUCAAGAGAUCCCAGGCCUCAACGUCUAUGCGCAGAUGCA